UGCUGGCGUCAUCGUCCUUCUGGAAGCCCUCGUUGGUGUACUGCACCCCCUCCUUGGCCCCGCCGGAGCCCGCUCCCAGCUGCAUGAGGGGACAAACAUGAUGAUGAGGAUCAUCGAGAAGGAGGCCAGACUGAAGAUAUUCACAGAGCUGCGGAAGAUGCUGGCUUCAGACAGUUUCCUCCAGGCUGCUUUUCCCUUCUGGAGGUGAAGAACGAGGAGUCCAAUGACCACCAUGCAGAUGACCAGGAGGACGGCGAGACUGACCCCCAGCGCCACCAUGUCCACCACACUGUACCCAUCUCCCCCCGGCCCCAGGACACCCUCUGUGGGGGUCAAAGAGUCUCCAUCAAUGGCAUACACUGGUCCAGGUUGUAAGGACAACGCACCAACCUGCAACAUACCCCAGACAAACAUUCAAUCAACAUACAGAGAUUCCAGACUCAGUAAAUACUUCCCUGUGGGCUGCAGCAGUUUCAAGCACUUUAGUUUUGGCGAAACAUUUCUCCAGAUGUCUGGAGGUCUUGCAGAGACAAGCUGCUGCUGGAUGUGUGAGUGUACGCAAGCGGUUCAGUGUUCCCUUGAAAGAGGGCUCAGGUCGACCCUGUCGCUCACUGGGUAGGGCGUGUAGGCGCCUACCAUACGGGCUGAGGGCUGCACGCAGCGGUUCGAUUCCGGCUUGGGUCAUUACUGCAUAUCUUCCCCUCUCUCCCCCUCUUGUCUACAUCUAACUGUCUCGCUCCAAAAAAGCCAUAAAAGGCCAAAAAUAUAUCUAAAAAGAGAGAGAGAUAAACACAGAGGGCCUCCCCGGGCCUUGCUUGCCCACCUCCUGGACGGUGAGGUUG